rnacentral:rRNA from 1 species
GAUGAACGCUGGCGGCAUGCCUAACACAUGCAAGUCGCACGGCCCGCAAGGGCAGUGGCGGACGGGUGAGUAACGCGUAGGUAUCUGUCUCCGGGUGGGGGAUAACUGUGGGAAACUACAGCUAAUACCGCAUGAAGCCUGAGGGCCAAAGGCGCAAGUCGCCCUGGGGAGGAGCCUGCGUACGAUUAGCUUGUUGGCGGGGUAAAGGCCCACCAAGGCGACGAUCGUUAGCUGGUCUGAGAGGAUGAUCAGCCACACUGGGACGUGAGACACGGCCCAGACUCCUACGGGAGGCAGCAGUGGGGAAUAUUGGACAAUGGGCGCAAGCCUGAUCCAGCAAUG